CCUCGGGAGGCAGCAGUGGGGAAUAUUGGACAAUGGGGGCAACCCUGAUCCAGCAAUGCCGCGUGUGUGAUGAAGGCCUUAGGGUUGUAAAGCACUUUCACUGGUGAAGAUGAUGACGGUAACCAGAGAAGAAGCCCCGGCUAACUUCGUGCCAGCAGCCGCGGUAAUACGAAGGGGGCGAGCGUUGUUCGGAAUUACUGGGCGUAAAGGGCGCGUAGGCGGUCUUUUAAGUUAGGCGUGAAAUCCCCGGGCUCAACCUGGGAACUGCGCUUAAGACUGGAAGACUAGAAAACGGAAGAGGGUAGUGGAAUUCCCAGUGUAGAGGUGAAAUUCGUAGAUAUUGGGAAGAACACCAGUGGCGAAAGCGGCUACCUGGUCCGAUUUUGACGCUGAGGCGCGAAAGCGUGGGGAGCAAACAGGAUUAGAUACCCUGGUAGUCCACGCCGUAAACGAUGUCUGCUAGAUGUCGGGGGGUUGCCCCUCGGUGUCGCCGCUAACGCAUUAAGCAGACCGCCUGGGAAGUACGGUCGCAAGAUUAAAACUCAAAGGAAUUGACGG
rnacentral:rRNA from 1 species